rnacentral:piRNA from 1 species
UUUUCCUUAGUUGUUGGGAUCUCUCCACC